AAAAAAAAAAAAAAAAACUAUUUUAAGAUGUGACAACUAAUUAUCCUAGUGUUUUGGACAUAAAUUGCUAUCACCUCUUUUGACAUUUUCACAAUUAGCUGACAACAAAAAGGAGGUAUCAAGCAAAUUUGCAUCAAGAUCACAUUUGCAACUGGCUACCAUGCAUAUCAUAUUCUUUUAUUAUUCAUCUAUAUAACCUAUCAGGACCUGUAGCUUACACAUCAGUAUGCAAAUUAUUUAAGACAAGUCCAUAGUAUGUCUCCCACACCUUAAUGGCUCACUCAAAUGAACUUUCAUCACCGAAAAAAGUGUGAAUAUGAGCUAAGGAAUAUGGCCCUCUCAAUAACCACACGUGGGUAAAGAUGCAGAAGAGUCCAUUUUCUUCAAAAAGGAAAAGAAAUAUUCAAAUUUCUUGUGAGUUGUGACAAAAUCCAUUCUCAUAUCUGCAAUUCAUAUCCUUAUAUACAUAUCUUCAUCUCAUAUCAAACUUAGAACUUGGGGACAUAUGGUAAUACAAUUUAUUUCUAAAGUAUUUGCACUCACACAAGUUAUUGUGGUGACUAAGAGCUACUUAGGCACAGCAAAACAAACUUAAGCAUCAAAUUAUUCUAAAGUUGUGCCCCAAAUUCAGCAUAGGGUCACCUAGGAGUUUUGAAGCCUAGCUAAAUUAGCAUUAAGUCUUUUACCUUCAGAUGUUUAUUUAUAUCAAAAACUAGAUGGCUCAUCUUACACAUUUUCUUUGAUUUUAUGUCCAUAUUCUUCUUGGUAAUUUUUUGCUUUUUAGGUAUUAUUGGCUGAUUAGACAUGAAGUAGCCUCCAAUCAAUUAGUAUCAGAAUCCUUGCAGAUUUCCCGAAAAACACCGUUCAGGGAAACUAUUUAUGGUGCAGAUCUGCAACUAAAAAAUAAAUCUAAAUCUGAUUUCCUUCAUCUUCUCUUUGGCCAGUUACACGCUUGACAAUCACUAGAACCUAACACAGGUCAUCCUUACUUUGAGCCCUUGAAGCUCUUAAUACCAUUAAUUAUUAAAGAACCUGUUCAGCUGUCGCUGCAUCACUUUGGGACCCCUCCUAGGCGUCUAACAACUAGGUUGUUCAUAAGGAUGUUACUGACAUUGUUUCUGCAGUUCAAAAAAUUAAAAAAAAAAAAUUUGUUUUACAUGCAAGCAUCAGGAAUUCAUAUGAAGGGCUCAAAAACUUAAAAUUGUUUGGUGUUUAGGCAGAAUCAUAUCCGUUAUAGUUAAAUUUGUUCCGCAAAGCACCAAAUUGAAUAGUUCAGGGGCUUUUAAUACGUUUUGAUCCUUAAGGAGAAACCCUAAAGGUUAAAAUUUGGGAUUCCAAAGAGGUCUCAUGUUAAAACAAUCUGAAUAAUGAGAAAAAGAUGAUUAGCUCUCAUAUACCCCAAGCACUGGAUUAAAAAUAAAUUAGCUUAAGCACAUAUGUGGACUUGCUUUUUUCUUUUUCAGUGUGCUGAGUGAAUCCAACGAGAAAGGAGACUGAUAAUGUUCUGAAUUCUGAUGAAAUUCAUUUGUUCCUCUGAAUAUGAAUGAUUUAAAUAGUAUAAAAGCAAAAAUUCCAAUUUUAUGUGUGAUGCACACUCUGAUUGAUUUCAAUGCACCAUUGCCUAUCUCCCCCUCAAAGGCAAAGAUGUCAAAGGCAUUAAACAAAGCAAGAACGAAAAAUUCAUGUAAGUACUGUUUCAAAAUUGUGACCUGCAAAGAAUGGUUACAAGCAGUUACAGUAAUUUUUAUGCAAACGACCAUGCAAGACAAAAACAGCACCAAAACAACAAAUCUCCAACAGUCUUAAACUUACACGCUCAAUUGCCUCGCGCUCCUCAGGAGUAACAGUCACAGCCUGAGGCAUUGCUGAAGCCAACUGACUAAGUGGGUUCCCUUCUCCUUCAACAGGUUCAUUUAUCAAGCGCAAGAAGUCAGCCUGAUGCUCUUGAAUGAGCCGCAUAAGAUGUGGGUUUUGUUUCCCAAGCUCCUGAAUCAUAGGCUGCAAUGCAUGACAACAGUAUUCAUCAUCCAAUAGGUUAGUCAGUACGAAACUCAACAGCUGCCACCAGAAGCAACAAGCAAAUGAAUCAAAUGAUAAGAAACACCUGCAGGAUUUGAGGAUUUGCUUGCACCAUAGCCCGCAAUGCUUGGAACUGCUGACUGUUGCGCAAAAAAUCCAAGGUGCCUGCACUGGCAUUGGAACCCAUACUAGGAAGGCCCUGAUUCCAUAAAAAUUAUAUUCAUCACUUAUCGUUACAAUACCAUAACGAGGAUCAAAGUUACAAAUGAAGAACAUGCCUGUGGAAAUAGAUCUAGAGGAUUUGCAUUUGGCCCACCACUGGUAGGUGCUGCAGGUUGUUCAGUAUGGGCUGGUGGAUUUGCAGCCUGCCCACUAGCAGGAACUCGGGCAACUGGUUGAACUUCAGCUUGCUCAGGAAUUCCAGAAUAAAGAUAUUCAACAGCCCUUUCAGGGUUGUUAUAUGCAGCACGUAGAGCAUGUACAACAGUUUUGCGAUCCCAACUGCCUCCGCCCAUGUCAAGUAUCUGUUGAAUGGUAGCCUCUAAAUUACUUCCUGCAACAAGGUUUGAUGCUGCGUGUCCAUAUAUGUCUGAUUCUGAACUGCUUAAACACCAUGAAAUGAGUAAAACAAAUAUAAAAGAAAAUUGAUUAAAUUCAAGUGAAAGAUGACUGCAGAAUUGGGUUCUGAAGAUCAAGGAUCUUGACCAAUGCAGACCCACAUAAGAAAAAUACUCCAGAUCCAUCAUACAACAGAUACUGACUGUCGCAAGUUCCAUUUGGGAUUGAGUAUGGACUCACAAUAGAACAGAAUAAAACUAGCACAAGAAAUACUCACGAAACAGGAUUAACUACAGAAGGUGUAGAUUCAGUGGAGGGUUGUAGUGGUGCUGCAGUUGGAGCAGGAGCUUGAGUAGUUGUUGCUGGUUGUGUUGCACUAGUAGGCAAAGAACUUGCAGGUUGGGCCUGCACAUGCAAGCAGUUGCAUUAAACUUCAGAUGGCAACUGAGUAGCAUGAUUUUGUGUUAUAUUGCCAACAGAGCAGGAAUGCAAGUGGCUAAGGGUGAUUUAUCCUUGCUUUUAAGGAAAUGGUAAAACAAUCAAUCAAGAAUUUAAUUAUGAUAAGGUAUCUCCCAAUCCAAAAUUAUCAAAAACUAGAAAUGUCAUGUUCAUGCCAAUUAUAUUCAAAUACAUACAAAUGAAAAAAGUUCUUGAUUGUGCAGCUAAUCUCUGGAAAACUACAAGGAAAAUGGGUAAGGACUAAGGAGGGGUGUUUUUGUAAUAUGGAAAAACCAAACCAUUAUUUACACAUGCAAAAAUCAUUGUAGAAAUCAUUAAAAGGAGAAGAGAGAAGGGGAAUGAGUAGCCAUCCCAGACAAAAUAAUAGCCAUUGUGUACCACAUUCCUGGACAAGCACUGUUCUGUAAUCUUUAAUUGGCUCAUGCUAUUGGUCUUGUACUCAAUAACUACUUAUCUAAAGACCGGACCAGGCUCAGGAAUAAUUGCACAAUAUUUCAAGAAAACACACAUCAUACUGUAACUGAUACCCAAGUAAAAAAUAACAAUAAAAAAAAAAUACAAACACACAUGCUGAAAGUCUGAUGUAUGAUCUGUAAAAGCAAUCACCAGUUAUUACUAAAUGAAUCCAGGCAUCGAUAGUAGAUCGUUAAAACAAAGUUCAGACAAGAGGCUUGCCAAGUAUAUCCUAAAUUUCAACAAAGGAUGUACUUUUGCACACUUGCUAUGAUGCUACCAACAUCAACGUCUGUGCAAAGUAGAUUUUUAGAUGGCCCAACUAGAUUGAUGAUUAAGGCAUAGUUGAAUUGAGUUUUUCAUACAUA
rnacentral:misc_RNA from 1 species